UGCCAGCCGCCGCGGUAAUACGGAGGGUGCAAGCGUUGUUCGGAAUUACUGGGCGUAAAGGGCGCGUAGGCGGCCUGAUAAGUCAGAUGUGAAAGUCCACGGCUCAACCGUGGAAGUGCAUUUGAAACUGUCAGGCUUGAGUAUCGGAGGGGAGUGUGGAAUUCCCGGUGUAGAGGUGAAAUUCGUAGAGAUCGGGAGGAACACCGGUGGCGAAGGCGACACUCUGGACGAAUACUGACGCUGAGGCGCGAAAGCGUGGGGAGCAAACAGGAUUAGAUA
rnacentral:rRNA from 1 species